UGUUAACUAUUUAUUACUGCAAAAAUACUGAAGUUAUGAUUAUUUCAUAAGAUGUUUUACUGUAGGCAGUCUUGUUACUCAGGAGUCAAAUGUGGCUACAGGUAACAACAGACCCUGAAAUUAUGCUAAAAUAAAAAUUGUGUUGAGAAAUAUAAUGUACCUCACACCAGCAAAACCAUAACUAUAUUGUACUGUAUACAUCAGGUUUCUCAAGCAACAUAAACUUAUUAGCCACGACACUAAAACCACUGACAGGUGAAGUGAAUAAUAUUGAUUAUUUUGUUACAAUGUUCUGCCGAGAAACCUUGGGUCCUUUCAAAGAUCAGUGCUGACCAGGCGGGUGUAUGAAGUGCCACACCUUAAAAAAAAAAAAAAAUUCCCAAAGCCAUGGACUUUGUCACUCCUGCUUCAGCCAUGAGAAAAGGAAGAACCAGAACAACAACAAAGGAAUAAUGAUUUUGCAAGCGGAGAAACCUAAAUAUGCCUUCAUCUUUCACAUACUUUCAUGGCUGGGUCAAGUAUGUCUUGAUGGUAAAACUGAAGAGGCCACUGAAGCCAACAUCUUUUAAACAUCUGAAAUUAAGCUUUGUGCCCAGAAAUGAUGUGACCAAUGAUCAUUUACUGCAAUCACAAUCUGGCACACAACACAAAAAGGAUGAAACUUUCCAGCUCAGGAAAAACGUCACUGACUGUAACAACUGACAAAACUGGUUAUAUGCAAGAUGAAGAUGUCUUGUGUAGCUCUCAAGCGCCUAAAAUGACGACACUAGCCUGUAAU